CGCGGCCUAUCAGCUUGUUGGUGGGGUAAUGGCCUACCAAGGCGUCGACGGGUAGCCGGCCUGAGAGGGUGUACGGCCACAUUGGGACUGAGAUACGGCCCAGACUCCUACGGGAGGCAGCAGUGGGGAAUAUUGCACAAUGGGCGAAAGCCUGAUGCAGCGACGCCGCGUGAGGGAUGAAGGCCUUCGGGUUGUAAACCUCUUUCAGUAGGGAAGAAGCGAAAGUGACGGUACCUGCAGAAGAAGCGCCGGCUAACUACGUGCCAGCAGCCGCGGUAAUACGUAGGGCGCAAGCGUUGUCCGGAAUUAUUGGGCGUAAAGAGCUCGUAGGCGGUUUGUCGCGUCUGGUGUGAAAACUCAAGGCUCAACCUUGAGCUUGCAUCGGGUACGGGCAGACUAGAGUGCGGUAGGGGUGACUGGAAUUCCUGGUGUAGCGGUGGAAUGCGCAGAUAUCAGGAGGAACACCGAUGGCGAAGGCAGGUCACUGGGCCGCAACUGACGCUGAGGAGCGAAAGCAUGGGGAGCGAACAGGAUUAGAUACCCUGGUAGUCCAUGCCGUAAACGUUGGGCACUAGGUGUGGGGCUCAUUCCACGAGUUCCGUGCCGCAGCAAACGCAUUAAGUGCCCCGCCUGGGGAGUACGG
rnacentral:rRNA from 1 species